CCUGGGGGAAUUGUACGGCAUUUGGAUGGAUAGCUAUUAGCUAGUAGUUGGCUAUGGCGAGGGGCGCUGCGCCUUUGCUCUUCUCUCUCUCGCCGAGCAAAGCGGGGAUCUUGAUGCGCUAGGGCAUCGAUUCUCGUUGAUCGUGUUGGCAGCGCCUCGCAGCGGUGGCGGCAUUGGGAUUAUGACGCUUGCCCGGGCAAUGUGUCGAAUUUGAAGGCGCUGCGCCACUGUGUCACGGGCGCGAUCGAGCGCGCGUCGACGGGGCAUCGAUGGAGCUAGGUAAUCACACAAGGGGCUCGCGUUGAAUCGAGCUUUUUCCUUCUUUCUCUCUGCUUCCCGUGAUCUUCCUCGCUUUUCCCAUUCGAUCCUCGGCUUUCCAUGGCGAAUUGGAGGUAAUCGCUCCGAAAUAUUCCCUCCUCUCGGAAGCGCUUGCUCGAAAUAUUUCCACUCCGAUCGAUCCGCAAGAUGGAGCUCCACGGCGGCGACCCGGACCUCUGCUAUGGCCUGGACGUGGAUCUUGUGGGAGACAACGAUGAGGCCUGGGCGAGGCGGUCGUCCAGGAUCACGAGGAUUUCAGCGACGACGACAUGGACGUGGACGAGCUGGAGAAGAGGAUUUGGAACGAUCGGCUGCGGCUCAAGCGGAUCAAGGACAAGCAAAAGGCCAGGGUCAACAACGCAUUCUCCUCGAAUCACUCGAAUCACAGCCAUGGGCAGCAGCAGCAGCAGCAGCAUCACGGCGGCCCAGCAGCGCAGCACCAGAAUCUGGGCAAUCUCCAGGAGCAAGCCCGGCGGAAGAUGUUGCGAGCCCAGGACGGGAUCCUCAAGUACACGCUCAAGAUGAUGGAGGUCUGCAAAGCCCAAGGAUUCGUCUAUGGCAUCAUCCCCGAGAAGGGCAAGCCAGUGAGCGGCGCCAGCAACAACAACCGCGUGAUGGAAGGAGAAGGUCCGCUUCGAUCGGAACGGCCCCGCCGCCAUGGCCAAGUACGAGGGCAUCUGCUCCAGAUCCGGCGGCGGCGCUGGCCAGCUCUCCGCCGCCGCCCCGACGCCACACACUUUCCAGGAGCUCCAGGACACCACGCAAUGCAGCACUGCGAUCCACCCCAGCGGAGGUACCCGCUGGAGAAAGGGGUGGCGCCGCCGUGGUGGCCGAGCGGCGACGAGGAGUGGUGGCCCGAGCUUGGGCUUCCAAAGGGGCAGGGGCCGCCGCCGUAUAAGAAGCCCCAUGAUCUCAAGAAGGUGUGGAAGGUUGGAGUUGUCACUGCGGUGAUCCGACACAUGUCCCCGGAUAUCGGGAAGAUCAGGAAGCUCGUGAGGCAGUCCAAGUGCUUGCAAGACAAGAUGACUGCCAAGGAGAGCGGGACGUGGAUCUCGGUGCUCAACCAGGAGGGCAGUGCUCGGGGAAUUUGAUCGGGCAGCAGCAGCAGCAGCAGAGCCACCACCACCACCACCAUAGCCAGGUGAUUGUGAUGAGGAUAACCCUUGAGACAUUAGUAUGAGGCUGCCUUGGAUUGCUCUUCCAGGAAGAGGUCGGAGAGCAAGCACAGCGACCUCACAAAGUCAGCUUCAAGCUGAAGAAGGCGGAGGCUGUUGAAGAGAUUGAUCGAGUGUGAGGCAAGUUUUUAGAGGAUCGUUCGAAGCUUUUGUGAUCUAAUCCUUGAGCAGCUGACAAGGGACAGCUCAUGAGGGAAGGCAGAGCUCCUCAGAAAGUUCUUGUGUGUGGUGAUUCCGGCAACGAUUCUGAGCUCUUUGCCGUCAAAGACGUUUCUGGAGUGAUCUUAAGUUCUUGAAGUCGAUUGAUCACUCACUCACUCACUGACGAUCUCAGGUCGGGAAUGCGUUUGAAGAUCUUACGCAGUGGUACCUUGAUAAUGCCAAAGACAAUCCCAAGAUCUUUCGUGGCACUGAAAGAUGCGCUUCGGGAAUCUCACAAGCUAUCCGAGAGUUCAAGUUUGAUCCUUGUGUUUCGCCCAGGGAUGCCGACUUACUGAGCCAGCUCACUGCUGGGGACACCGAAGGGUUGAUCGGACGUGGAGUGGUGCUACUGUGUGAGAUGGUUACGAGGCGAGGUUGAAAGCUCCCACGAGGUGUUUGAACACUUGAAAAGGCCAAUGGCCCCUGACUCAACGCUGGGACUAGAAGACGAUCUUCGUAGAAGCGUUGAGAUUCUACGUCCCCUCCACGGUAUUUACAGGGGAAAGAACUUCUGUAUGUGGGUUGAUCGAAUUCGUGCGACGAAGGUUGGGGACGUUACUUGGGUUGUCAAGUUUGAUAAGUGGCAGCGAACGGACGAAGAGCUGAAUUAUCGCUUGACAACCGCCGUGUGUUUCAAUAUGAGGAUGGCAUGCCUUAUGCGAGUGCAUUACGAAUCCACGAAACGUGGCUUGAUGGUUAUGCGGGAAGACCUUUGCUCCUAAUGUAGGAGGCACAGCCAACGAUAGGCGAAAAAAUAAGCAGGGACGAGUCAUCGUCCAGUGGCAUACAAAUUCCAGGUUUACUGAGAUUGAUAUAUGGUGAAGGAAAACGAGGGGUGACAUCAGGAUCAAAAGCGAGAAUCAAGCACACUCAGGUCGGAACGACAGGGAUCAAACUCAUCAGUAGCAACGGAGAGCAAAUGGAAGGAGAAAAAACCCGGCGGGUUGGGGUCCACGUCGUCAAUAAAACGAUGCGGAUCAAUGUUAAAAACCCACAGACUGAAUCUGGCAAGGAAAAGGAAAAGUAUAAUCGGGCCACUAAGAAGGUGGAGCAUUGCGAAUGGAAGAUAAGCUAAAAUGCAUUUAUUUUCGUUCUCUUUCUUUCUGCGUGGUAUGGCGGACUUCUCUCAGCAUAUCCCGAGCUGCAUAUCCAGUGAUUCAAAGCAAAGUUCUCACCCUUAUACCCCCCUUUGAUGAUAGUCGGGCAAUUAUCACACCACUAUUCUUCCAUGUCUUGUGUGUCUCUAGUCGGCCAACCAGAGUAUAAAAUGCGACCACCACCUUCAUUGCAAACUCCCCCCGCUCCCUCUUCCUCUCGCAGAAGGAGAGAAGGCUCCAAGUUUUUGAGUGAGCAAAGGGCUCUCACCUCGAGAACUCGACAAGCUCUCUCGAUUCCAAGCUUGGCUCCUUCGGUUAUUCUUCUCCUCUUCGUCCCCUUUCAAGAUUUGGUUGCGCCAGCAAUCGGGACUCUGACGAAACAAAACGCUCCAUAAGCGUGAUUUCCAGAAAGAAGCACAGGCGCCAGAAAAGUUUGAAGAGGCAUUCUGAACUUGACACCAUUUCCUCCAGGUAAUCCAAGCUUUCAGACAUGGUGAAGUUCCAGAAGCAGCUGGAGGGCCAGCUCGUCCCAGAGUGGCGGGUGAAGUACUGCGACUACAAGCAGCUCAAGAAAGUUGUCAAGAGAAUCAAAACCCAGAUCCUACAUACCAAGAACCAGCAGCACAAGGUGUUCGAUCCAAAUGUCUUCUCGGUUGACAAGAGCAAGCUUGAAAACUUGCUGCAAAAUCCCAGCGCCAUCCUGAGCAGCUGCUGCGAACAAUCCAUAUCCUCGGAAACGUCCAUGGUCUGUGAUGAUGGUCUAAAACACUUCAAUAUGAUCAGGUUGUGCACAAGACGAGAAUUGGAGAUGGCGAGGAUUUUUACGAGACAGAGCUGUUUGGAACUCGAUCGGAUCACGAAAAGAGCUUCUUUUUCGGCCUUGACGAUCAGCUCAACAAAGUGGACAAGUUUUUUAGAUGCAAGGAAGACGAGUACGAUGCUCAAGCACGGCAACUUCACAUCCAAAUGGAAGAGCUCAUCCCUAUGCAAGAUGACGAAUCUCAGAGCUUGAAGGGGAGCCCGGCAACAAAGGAAAGGUUCAGCGAGCAGCCAAGAUGCUCCAGACGGCCUUUGUCGAAUUUUAUCGUGGGCUUCGACUCCUAAGAAACUUCAGCUCCUUGAACAUGAUGGCAUUCGUCAGGAUCCGCAAGAAAUAUGACAAGGUGACUGGAGUCUGGCAGUUAUCUCAAGAUGGUCGAAAACUCGCAUUUUGCAACGUCGGACAAGGUAGUAAAGUUUAUGGACCGCGUAGAGAGAGUGUUCACUCUGCACUUUACGAAAGGCAACUGAAAGCAAGCCAUGGAUAUCUCAGGCCCAUACACUCUGCGAGCAAUCAUGGAAAUAUAAACUUUAUCAGGCC